UCUGUUAUGAAGUAAAACUGUAAGCCACCUUUGAUUCAGCCAUUAAAGAUGGUUCAAAUUAAAGAUGAAAAUAUUGGUCCCAAAGGUAUUUUAUGGGAAUCCCUGAGAGGUAAUAAUUUCUUUGACUUAAAGUAAUUUGAGAAUUCACAAUGCAGUAUUCAUUGUUACCUUAGCAAAAGGAAUGGAAAGGAUUGUUAAAGGAACAGGCUGCUUGUCUGUGUUAGCUUUGACUCUAUUAGAAUCACAAGUUUAUUUUCUCAAACAAGUUUAUGGGGGAAAGCCAAGACCAGCAAGUGAAUUUGUGCAACUUACAUAAUAGUGAAAUUAUACAUAAAAGUUUAUCACUAUCAGGCUGGUAUAUCCAUUGCAAUCUAUAUUCCUACAAUAAAUACUUCCUAUAAAAUAUAAUUUCCUAUUAUAAGGAUACAGUGAGUAAUAUGUUUCCUACAACACAUAUAUAAAAAGACUUAGCAGAAAUCAUAAUUUUAAGUAGUAUACUACAGAAGAAUUAAAAAUCAACCCUUUAAAAAUAAUGUGUGUUGAUGUCAA
rnacentral:lncRNA from 1 species